UGGCGAACGGGUGAGUAACGCGUGAGGAACCUGCCUCAAAGAGGGGGACAACAGUUGGAAACGACUGCUAAUACCGCAUAAGCCCACGGGUCGGCAUCGACCUGAGGGAAAAGGAGCAAUCCGCUUUGAGAUGGCCUCGCGUCCGAUUAGCUAGUUGGUGAGGUAACGGCCCACCAAGGCGACGUUCGGUAGCCGGACUGAGAGGUUGAACGGCCACAUUGGGACUGAGACACGGCCCAG
rnacentral:rRNA from 1 species